UGGGGUGUGGCUCAGUUGGUAGAGUGCUUGUCUAGCAUGCACGAAGUCCUGGGUUUGAUUACCCCAGCACAGCAG
rnacentral:tRNA from 1 species